ensembl:snoRNA LOC120094900 small nucleolar RNA SNORA48
CCCCCCCGGCACUGGGCAAGCACCUGGUUUGUGGUGUUCCUAUAUCAGUCAGGGGCAGAGCAGAUGGCAGUCCUUUGUUCAUCCUAGCUUGAUGCCUGGCUUGGUGGCCAAAGCUGUUUCAUGCCUAGGACACAUGA